rnacentral:rRNA from 1 species
UGGUGGAGUGAUUUGUCUGGUUAAUUCCGAUAACGAACGAGACCUCAACUUAUUAACUAGUGGUACCGAUCGUCUACACGGGUGAAGUUUGGUUUAGGUCUUGGCACGCUCGCAAGGGCGGCGCCGAGCCGGCCUUAUGGAACCUUGAUGUUUCGGUGCCUUCUUCAAACUUCUUAAAGGGACUAUCCACGUUUAGUGGGUGGAAGUGAGGCAAUAACA